rnacentral:rRNA from 1 species
GACGAAGGGGGCUAGCGUUGUUCGGAAUUACUGGGCGUAAAGCGUGCGCAGGCGGUUCGUUGUGUCGGCGGUGAAAGCCCCGGGCUUAACCUGGGAAUGGCCGUCGAAACUGGCGAACUGGAGUGUGGCAGAGGGGGGUGGAAUUCCGCGUGUAGCAGUGAAAUGCGCAGAUAUCAGGAGGAACACCAAUGGCGAAGGCAGCUCGCUGGGACGGUACUGACGCUGAGGCGCGAAAGCGUGGGGAGCAAACAGG